CCAAUGACUAGCGGUCGCGAUUCGCCCUUAGAGUUUGAUCCUGGCUCAGAACGAACGCUGGCGGCGCGUUUUAAGCAUGCAAGUCGAGGGGUAGGAUUCCUUCGGGGAUCUGAGACCGGCGAACGGGUGAGUAACACGUAGGUGAUCUACCACGAGGUUGGGGAUAGCCCAUGGAAACAUGGGGUAAUACCGAAUGCGCUCUUUUGGCUGUGGCCGGAAGAGGAAAGGGGCUUUGGCCCCGCCUGGUGAUGAGCCUGCGGCUGAUUAGCUUGUUGGUGGGGUAACGGCCUACCAAGGCGACGAUCAGUAGCCGGCCUGAGAGGGUGAUCGGCCACACUGGGACUGAGAUACGGCCCAGACUCCUACGGGAGGCAGCAGCUAAGAAUCUUCCGCAAUGGACGAAAGUCUGACGGAGCGACGCCGCGUGGGUGAUGAAGGCCGUGAGGUUGUAAAGCCCUUUUCUACCUGAGGAAUAAGCCCUUGAGGGAAUGCGAGGGUGAUGACGGUAGGGUAGGAAUAAGCCUCGGCUAACUCCGUGCCAGCAGCCGCGGUAAUACGGAGGAGGCAAGCGUUAUCCGGAAUUAUUGGGCGUAAAGCGUUCGCAGGUGGCUGUUCAAGUCUGCUGUCAAAGACCGGAGCUUAACUCCGGAAAGGCGGUGGAAACUGAAGAGCUAGAGUGCGGUAGGGGUAGAGGGAAUUCCCAGUGUAGCGGUGAAAUGCGUAGAGAUUGGGAAGAACACCGGUGGCGAAAGCGCUCUACUAGGCCGCAACUGACACUCAGGGGACGAAAGCUAGGGGAGCGAAUGGGAUUAGAUACCCCAGUAGUCCUAGCUGUAAACGAUGGGUACUAGCGUAGCUUGUAUCGAUCCGAGCUGUGCCGAAGCUAACGCGUUAAGUACCCCGCCUGGGGAGUACGCACGCAAGUGUGAAACUCAAAGGAUUGACGGGGCCGCCAAGCGGUGGAGUAUGUGGUUUAAUUCGAUGCACGCGAGACCUACAG
rnacentral:rRNA from 1 species